AUUGAACGCUGGCGGCAGGCUUAACACAUGCAAGUCGAGCGGAGAUGAGGUGCUUGCACCUUAUCUUAGCGGCGGACGGGUGAGUAAUGCUUAGGAAUCUGCCUAUUAGUGGGGGACAACAUUCCGAAAGGAAUGCUAAUACCGCAUACGCCCUACGGGGGAAAGCAGGGGAUCUUCGGACCUUGCGCUAAUAGAUGAGCCUAAGUCGGAUUAGCUAGUUGGUGGGGUAAAGGCCUACCAAGGCGACGAUCUGUAGCGGGUCUGAGAGGAUGAUCCGCCACAGUGGGCCUGAGACACGGCCCAGACUCCUACGGGAGGCAGCAGUGGGGAAUAUUGGACAAUGGGCGGAAGCCUGAUCCAGCCAUGCCGCGUGUGUGAAGAAGGCCUUUUGGUUGUAAAGCACUUUAAGCGAGGAGGAGGCUACCUGGAUUAAUACUCUAGGAUAGUGGACGUUACUCGCAGAAUAAGCACCGGCUAACUCUGUGCCAGCCGCCGCGGUAAUAC
rnacentral:rRNA from 1 species